GACGAACGCUGGCGGCGUGCUUAACACAUGCAAGUCGAACGAUGAUGCUGGAGCUUGCUCCAGUUGAUUAGUGGCGAACGGGUGAGUAACACGUGAGCAAUCUGCCCUUGACUCUGGGAUAACUGCGGGAAACUGUAGCUAAUACCGGAUACUUUCACCGGAAGGCAUCUUCUGGUGAUGAAAGAAUUUCGGUCAGGGAUGAGCUCGCGGCCUAUCAGCUUGUUGGUGAGGUAACGGCUCACCAAGGCGACGACGGGUAACCGGCCUGAGAGGGUGACCGGUCACACUGGGACUGAGACACGGCCCAGACUCCUACGGGAGGCAGCAGUGGGGAAUAUUGGGCAAUGGAGGAAACUCUGACCCAGCGACGCCGCGUGCGGGAUGAAGGCCUCGGUUGUAAACCGCUUUCAGUAGGAAGAAGCGAAAGUGACGGUACCUACAGAAGAAGCACCGGCGUAACUAUGUG
rnacentral:rRNA from 1 species